rnacentral:lncRNA from 11 species
GGUAUAACAGUAGAGAUCAGUAUACCAUUUGGAGAUCUUUACAAACUUUUACUGUGGAUGCCGAGUUCUCUGUUUUUCUUGAAGAUUGUAGGUGUUAUGGAAAGGAACAUUUGUUUUGCAUGUGAAAUUGGUGAUACCAUCUGAUUACUGUUUUGAAGAAAGAUGUCUGCUCAAUACAGAAGGGCAAGGAAAUGACACUUUUUUGCCACAGGAAGAAAGUUAUAUUGAGAUUUUUAUUGUGUGCCUUCUAACUUACUGGAACCCUAAGGUAUCUCCUUGGAAGAGAUGUGGAGGCAAUAAAAAUGAAGGCAACUACAAGAUUAUUGGAUGUGGAAGCGGGAAAGAGAAUGCAGUGCCCAAGGGCAAGAUGAACACAUUUAGAUUGGAUUUUUAACCAAAGAGAAAUGAUAUAAGCUUUUGAAAUUGAAG